GUCGAAUGUGUCGUCACCACCUGCAUUGGGGACCCUAGCAUGAUGGUCCAGGACAGGGCCAGGGUGGUGGAGCUCUGAAUCCAGGUGGCCAAGGAAUACCAAGGCCUGAGGAACCUUUUCUCACUCCAUGUGAUCCUCUGGGCUCUGCAGGGCCCCUCCAUUCAGCAUUUAAAAGAGACAUGGAGAUGGGUGUCCAGGAAGAACUGUACAAAACUUAAAAAGUUGAUGAAAACAAGCCAGCAGGAGAGCAGGAAGCUGCUCAAGGAGGAGGUGACCUCUGUGUGGGCCACCUUAGAGAUGGAUCCCCAGGGAACCCAGGAGAGGCAGAA